AUACCUACGGGGCGCAGCCGUGGGGAAUAUUGGGCAAUGGGCGCAAGCCUGACCCAGCAACGCCGCGUGAAGGAAGAAGGCUUUCGGGUUGUAAACUUCUUUUCUCAGGGACGAAGCAAGUGACGGUACCUGAGGAAUAAGCCACGGCUAACUACGUGCCAGCAGCCGCGGUAAUACGUAGGUGGCAAGCGUUAUCCGGAUUUACUGGGCGUAAAGGGCGUGUAGGCGGGAAAGAAAGUCAGAUGUGGAAACCAUGGGCUCAGACUGUGGCCUGCAUUUGAAGCUGUUUUUCUU
rnacentral:rRNA from 1 species